rnacentral:rRNA from 1 species
AUUGAACGCUGGCGGCAGGCCUAACACAUGCAAGUCGAGCGGAUGAAGGGUGCUUUCUCCUGUAUUCAUCUGCGGACGGGUGUGUAAUGCCUAUGAAUCUUCCUGGUUGUUGGUGAUAACGUCCUGUAACGGGCUCUAAUACCGCAUACGUCCUUAGUUUGUAAGUUUUGGUUCUUCUGUCCUCUCGCUUUCUUCUGUGCCUAGGUCGUAUUAGCUAGUUGGUGGGGUAAAGUCCUACCAUGGCGAAGAUCCGUAACUGGUCUGAGAGGAUGAUCAGUCACACUGGAAGUGAGACACGGAACAGACUACUACGGGAGGCAGCAGUGGGGAAUAUUGGACAAUGGGCGAAAGCAUGAUACAGACAAGCCGAGUGUGUGAAGAAGGUCUUCGGAUUGUAAAGAAAUUUAAGUAGGGAGGAAGGGAAGUAAGUUAAUAAAGUGAUGUAUUGACGUUAACAACAGAAAAAGCACCGGCUAACUACGUG